AGUUUAUAUGGACUAUAAUGCAACGACUCCCCUGGAGCCAGAAGUUAUCCAGGCCAUGACCGAGGCCAUGUGGGAAGCCUGGGGAAAUCCCAGCAGCCCGUAUUCAGCAGGAAGAAAGGCCAAGGAUAUUAUAAAUGCAGCUCGGGAAAGCCUCGCGAAGAUGAUAGGGGGGAAACCUCAAGAUAUAAUCUUCACUUCCGGGGGCACUGAGUCAAAUAAUUUAGUAAUCCAUUCUGUGGUGAAACAUUUCCACGCAAACCAGACCUCCAAGGGACACACGGGUGGGCACCACAGCCCAGUGAAGGGGGCCAAGCCCCAUUUCAUUACUUCCUCGGUGGAACACGACUCCAUCCGGCUGCCCCUGGAGCACCUGGUGGAAGAACAAGUGGCAGCGGCCACCUUUGUCCCGGUGUCCAAGGUGAGCGGGCAGGCAGAGGUGGAUGACAUCCUCACGGCAGUCCGCCCGACCACACGCCUCGUGACCAUCAUGCUGGCCAACAAUGAGACUGGCAUUGUCAUGCCUGUCCCUGAAAUCAGUCAGCGCAUUAAAGCCCUGAACCAGGAACGGGUGGCAGCUGGGCUGCCUCCCAUCCUCGUGCACACAGAUGCUGCACAGGCCUUGGGGAAGCAGCGCGUGGAUGUGGAGGACCUGGGCGUGGACUUCCUUACAAUCGUGGGGCACAAGUUUACCAGGGCCCGAGAUAUUUUUAGUACUCAAUUUUGAAGCACAGUCCUCAGCUGGUUUCCAAAGGAGUGUCUAUGCUGGCCUGACACUGGCACUCCAGAGUUCUGCAUUGUGUCAGUUGGAAACAUGGAAUCAUUUGCAGGAAAAGCCCUGGCCAACCGCUGGUUCCAACCCCUCUCUAUUUAUGCAUUCUCUUUCUUUUUUUUUUUUUUUAACCUGUGAUUCAUAUGAUUUGAGAUCCUUUUACAAAUUCUAUCACAUGAUGCGCAGGGGAGAGCUGCCUGCCACAGGGCUGAGCACGAGAGUCUAGCACCUGCGCUGCCUCCUAGGUUGGGGUUCCACCCUGCCCCGAA
rnacentral:sRNA from 1 species